GACGAACGCUGGCGGCGUGCUUAACACAUGCAAGUCGAACGCUGAAGACCUGGCUUUUGUUGGGUUGGAUGAGUGGCGAACGGGUGAGUAACACGUGAGUAACCUGCCCUCUUCUUUGGGAUAACGCCCGGAAACGGGUGCUAAUACUGGAUAUUCACUGAUCUUCGCAUGGGGGUUGGUGGAAAGGUUUGUUCUGGUGGGGAUGGGCUCGCGGCCUAUCAGCUUGUUGGUGGGGUGAUGGCCUACCAAGGCUUUGACGGGUAGCCGGCCUGAGAGGGUGACCGGUCACAUUGGGACUGAGAUACGGCCCAGACUCCUACGGGAGGCAGCAGUGGGGAAUAUUGCACAAUGGGCGAAAGCCUGAUGCAGCGACGCCGCGUGAGGGAUGGAGGCCUUCGGGGUGUAAACCUCUUUCGCUCAUGGUCAAGCCGCAACUGUGGGUUGUGGUGAGGGUAGUGGGUAAAGAAGCGCCGGCUAACUACGUG
rnacentral:rRNA from 1 species